CCCUCGUUUACCUAGACCCCUUUGUGGCAUAGCAAUUUGCGCUGUUUACCAUCCACCUGGCCUACCCCAGGACGAUCAUCAGUCACUAAAGGAAUAUCUAUCUUCCACCAUUGAUUUGCUGUGCAACCGAUACCCUAACUGUGGUAUCAUCCUUCUUGGGGACUUUAACGACCUAGAAAUAUCUCUCCCGUCAGCAAGACAUAAUUUAAAGCAAGUCGUCAAAGCCCCCACUAGAGGUUCAUCAAUCCUUGACCUCA